AACACUCAAUAAUACAAGUAGCAUUCCCUUUUUCAAAGUUUUCUAUCCUCUUCCAAAUACUUUACACUUUCUCAACCUACUCAAAACUUCCUUUCAACAAUUGCUUCAUCCUUACAGUUGAAGAUGAAGUUUAUUUAUUCGGCGAAAAUUUCUAUGGUGCAAUCUGAUUGGUCUCUUGUCAGAGUUUUAUUUUUCUUUUCAACGACCGUGAUAUCCUUGAUUAAAUAUGUACGUAGUUGCAGUAUCAACAAUAUUGUCAAUCCGAAAGCAAGAAGCAAGAAAAAAGCAUAGCUGAAAUCUGCUGACAAUAGUUGUUAGUUGACAAUGCUGAUGUUAGCUCUGCAGGCUUUGUCUGCAACUUUCCCCUGGACUUCCGUUGUGGCACUGGUGCAAGAUUCACACUUAUAGCUCAGCCGUUAGCGAAAUUUGUUGAAUGACAAAACCAAUUAACUUUGUUGAAUGACAAAACCAAUUCUCUUAAAAAUUAUAUUUAUUAACAGCAGAAAAUUAGAUCAAAUACAACAAGAGACUUGUAUACAACAAGAGGAUUGUAACGUAGAGGAAGAUUAUAGUUUUACAACAGGAGGAAACAUAAUAUUUUGGUUGAUAAGAACACAAAUGAGGAAUAUUUUAUUUAUACAACAAGAGGAAUAUAUAGAUGAGAGGAAGAUUAUAUUUAUACAAAGAGGAAGACAAUGUUUACUUAGAU